GCCAUAGCUCAGUGGUAGAGCAUCUGCUUUGCAUGCAGAAGGUCCCACGUUCAAUCCCAUCUCUGGGGAGAGCA